UGAACCUGCGUCCCAUUUUGAAUAUCUCUUGGAGAGAUUUAGGACAUUUCAAGUAAAUGUAAAUGACUAGAAAGUCAUCUGUUGGCCAUUUUAGUAUAACUUUGUUGGGUCAUGAUGUAGGUAGUGGCAAGAAAUUUUGCCAAAGUUUUUGUUAUUGAAAAUUAUCCAUUUGCUCUUGAUAAAAAGUUGCUACAAAGAUUGUGGAUUUGAAGAGGCUUUUAAGUAUGUUAAAUACCUCUUAUAGAAAUAAUUCGUUUCUUAGAUUUUUGAAAGGCAUUUGUUUCUGUCUUACAGUUGAUGAAUGUGAUUGUGAAGUAAGGGAAGCCAUAGCCAAGAAGAGGUAGCCAGAAGCAGUGAGUCAAAAUCACAGGGAGUGAGUGCAAACCUGAGGCAGCAAGUGAAAACUAGAAUAGGAAGCCUGUGGAAAACUAACUGAUUAAACAUGUCAUGGCUAUUUGGUAUGAAUCAGCGACCAGAAGACUUUUCACAAUUUGUGCCACCAGCUAGUACUGUUGGUGGAGGAGGGCUUGAUGGAUCAGGUGACUCGGGAGAUGGCAAGAGAAAAAGCAGUGCAAUGGAAGCUUAUCAUUUUGAUUCUGCUGCUCUAGAGUGAGCUGAUAAAGCUGCCAAGGAUCUAGAAUCUUCAAUUUCAGACACUGGCUCGUAUGAAGUGGAUGGUACCAGUGAACGUGCCCAUCAACCAGACCAGGAUGAUGUGGGACCGUAAUGUGGACCGUAGUGCUCUGGAAGCUGGGGAGAAGGUGCUGGCAUUGGAGCCAAUUCAUG